AGGACGAACGCUGGCGGCGUGCUUAACACAUGCAAGUCGAGCGGAAAGGCCCUUCGGGGUACUCGAGCGGCGAACGGGUGAGUAACACGUGAGGAACCUGCCCCGGACUUUGGGAUAACCCUCGGAAACGGGGGCUAAUACCGAAUAUGACUUCGCAUCGCAUGAUGCUUGGUGGAAAGUUUUUCGGCUGGGAUGGUCUCGCGGCCUAUCAGCUUGUGGUGGGUAAUGGCCUACCAAGGCGACGACGGGUAGCCGGCCUGAGACGGGCGACGGCCACGACGUGGACUGAGACACGGCCCAG
rnacentral:rRNA from 1 species